rnacentral:rRNA from 1 species
GACGAACGCUGGCGGCGGGCUUAACACAUGCAAGUCGAAGGAGAAGGUAACUGCUUGCAGUUACUGGAGACUGGCGGACGGGUGAGUAACGCGUAGAUAACCUGCCUUUAGCUGGGGGAUAACACUGCGAAAGUGGUGCUAAUACCGCAUAAUGCAGCGGGGCCGCAUGGCCACAGUUGUUAAAGGUUUAGGCCGGCUAAAGAUGGGUCUGCGUGCUAUUAGUUAGUUGGUGAGGUAACGGCUCACCAAGGCGAUGAUAGCUAGGGGGUCUGAGAGGAUGAUCC